rnacentral:rRNA from 1 species
UUAAAUUGAAGAGUUUGAUCAUGGCUCAGAUUGAACGCUGGCGGCAGGCUUAACACAUGCAAGUCGAACGGUAACAUGAGUGCUUGCACUUGAUGACGAGUGGCGGACGGGUGAGUAAGGUAUGGGGAUCUGCCGAAUGGAGGGGGACAACAGUUGGAAACGACUGCUAAUACCGCAUAAAGUUGAGAGACCAAAGCAUGGGACCUACGGGCCAUGCGCCAUUUGAUGAACCCAUAUGGGAUUAGCUAGUUGGUGGGGUAAUGGCUCACCAAGGCGACGAUCUCUAGCUGGUCUGAGAGGAUGACCAGCCACACUGGAACUGAGACACGGUCCAGACUCCUACGGGAGGCAGCAGUGGGGAAUAUUGCACAAUGGGGGAAACCCUGAUGCAGCCAUGCCGCGUGUAUGAAGAAGGCCUUCGGGUUGUAAAGUACUUUCGGUGAUGAGGAAGG